rnacentral:rRNA from 1 species
CGUAGGUGGCAAGCGUUGUCCGGAGUUACUGGGUGUAGAGGGCGUGUAGGCGGGAAGGUAAGUCAGAUGUGAAAUUCCAUGGCUCAACUGUGGCGCUGCAUCUGAAACUAUCUUUCUUGAGUGAUGGAGAGGAAAGUGGAAUUCCUAGUGUAGCGGUGAAAUGCGUAGAUAUUAGGAGGAACACCAGUGGCGAAGGCGACUUUCUGGACAUUAACUGACGCUGAGGCGCGAAAGCGUGGGGAGCAAACAGGAUUAGAUACCCUGGUAGUCCACGCUGUAAACGAUGGAUACUAGGUGUAGGAGGUAUCGACCCCUUCUGUGCCGGAGUUAACACAAUAAGUAUCCCACCUGGGGAGUACGGCCGCAAGGUUG